rnacentral:rRNA from 1 species
AGUGAACGCUGGCGGUAGGCCUAACACAUGCAAGUCGAACGGCAGCACAGUAAGAGCUUGCUCUUACGGGUGGCGAGUGGCGGACGGGUGAGGAAUACAUCGGAAUCUACUUUUUCGUGGGGGAUAACGUAGGGAAGCUUACGCUAAUACCGCAUACGACCUACGGGUGAAAGCAGGGGAUCUUCGGACCUUGCGCGAUUGAAUGAGCCGAUGUCGGAUUGGCUAGUUGGCGGGGUAAAGGCCCACCAAGGCGACGAUCCGUAGCUGGUCUGAGAGGAUGAUCAGCCACACUGGAACUGAGACACGGUCCAGACUCCUACGGGAGGCAGCAGUGGGGAAUAUUGGACAAUGGGCGCAAGCCUGAUCCAGCCAUACCGCGUGGGUGAAGAAGGCCUUCGGGUUGUAAAGCCCUUUUGUUGGGAAAGAAAAGCAGCAGGUUAAUACCCCGCUGUUCUGACGGUACCCAAAGAAUAAGCACCGGCUAACUUCGUG